GGACUACCGGGGUAUCUAAUCCUGUUUGCUACCCACGCUUUCGGGCAUGAACGUCAGUGUUAUCCCAGGAGGCUGCCUUCGCCAUCGGUAUUCCUCCACAUCUCUACGCAUUUCACUGCUACACGUGGAAUUCUACCUCCCUCUGACACACUCUAGUCACCCAGUUCAGAACGCAGUUCCCAGGUUGAGCCCGGGGAUUUCACAUCCUGCUUAAGUAACCGUCUGCGCCCGCUUUACGCCCAGUAAUUCCGAUUAACGCUCGCACCCUACGUAUUACCGCGGCUGCUGGCAC
rnacentral:rRNA from 1 species